rnacentral:misc_RNA from 1 species
ACCAUGCUAGUUCACCAGAUACACAAUCACAAAAACAACAAAAAUUUAAGUAACUGUUUUUAGCUUUGAGAACAAUCUUCAGUUUAUUCUGCAUUACCAUAUUUUACUACAAUAAUUCAUACAUGCCACAUGUGUGCGUCGACUGACAUUUUGCAACUACCUACAUGCUAUUGCCUGUUUGAAUUUUUCCAUUUAGGACAGGAUCCUUGUAUUUGAAAAAG